rnacentral:misc_RNA from 1 species
GAUGAAGAACGUAGCGAAAUGCGAUAAGUAGUGUGAAUUGCAGAAUUCAGUGAAUCAUCGAAUCUUUGAACGCACAUUGCGCCCCUUGGUAUUCCAUGGGGCAUGCCUGUUCGAGCGUCAUUUGUACCUUCAAGCUCUGCUUGGUGUUGGGUGUUUGUCUCGCCUCUGCGCGUAGACUCGCCUCAAAACAAUUGGCAGCCGGCGUAUUGAUUUCGGAGCGCAGUACAUCUCGCGCCUUGCACUCCUAACGACGACGUCCAAAAGUACAUUUUUACACUCUUGACCUCGGAUCAGGUAGGGAUACCCGCUGAACUUAAGCAUAUCAAUAAGCGGAGGA